rnacentral:rRNA from 1 species
UAACACUUAGAAAUAGGUGCUAAUACCGCAUAACAACAGAAAGCGCAUGCUUUUUGUUUGAAAACCAAGGUGGUAUGGGAUGGACCCGCGUCUGAUUAGCUGGUUGGCGGGGUAAAGGCCCACCAAGGCGACGAUCAGUAGCCGGCCUGAGAGGGUGGACGGCCACAUUGGGACUGAGACACGGCCCAAACUCCUACGGGAGGCAGCAGUGGGGAAUAUUGCACAAUGGGGGAAACCCUGAUGCAGCGACGCCGCGUGAGUGAAGAAGUAAUUCGUUAUGUAAAGCUCUAUCAGCAGGGAAGAAAAUGACGGUACCUGAGUAAGAAGCCCCGGCUAACUACGUGCCAGCAGCCGCGGUAAUACGUAGGGGGCAAGCGUUAUCCGGAUUUACUGGGUGUAAAGGGAGCGUAGACGGCAGUGCAAGUCUGGAGUGAAAGGCGGGGGCUCAACCCCCGGACUGCUCUGGAAACUGUACGGCUGGAGUGCAGGAGAGGUAAGUGGAAUUCCUAGUGUAGCGGUGAAAUGCGUAGAUAUUAGGAGGAACACCAGUGGCGAAGGCGGCUUACUGGACUGUAACUGACGUUGAGGCUCGAAAGCGUGGGGAGCAAACAGGAUUAGAUACCCCUGGUAGUCCACGCCGUAAACGAUGAUCACUAGGUGU